GGUAGGUUGGCCCUGUGCCUCUGGUAUGCUAAGGUCACCUGGGUAGCUGGCUUUAAGUUGCAGUCUGGAUACUGGCCUGUGUUAAUGCCCUUGACCCUGGGAUCCUACAUAGCCAUGCCUUAGAACCCCUACUUGGGUGCUAUUCAGGAGGCUUCCAGAGUCUGCCUGGUCUCUCCAGCCAUCACCACCUGUCCCAGCCCCGUUGCCCAGAACCCUUCCUUGCUCCCGCUGUGGUGUAGGGCCAGCUUGACUCCAUCUGUCCAGGUCGGUCUGCUGUCUGGUGUCAGCACUGCACUUGAAUGGGGGGCUGACCACCCGGCCUCAUGCUAGACAAGGCCUGGGUCCUUGACGUGGCACCUUGAGAUGCUGGACCCCGUCAGGAAUGGGAGCUUGGCUGUUCAGGGCUGAGGGUGUUUGGUGUUUCUUGGGGACCUCCUGGAACCCCUAGGGGUGGGUGUAGAGGGCCCCUGAGGCCCCUUCCUAUGUGGGCACCUCCCUGAAGGUGGCUGGGCUAGGGUCCUAUCACCAGCUCUCUGGAGGUGACCCUGGCAGUCUUCCGAGGCCCACUCUGUGGGAUUUCCCUCUGAGCCUCAUUCUGACCCCCCCCCCCCCC
rnacentral:lncRNA from 1 species